GCAUCCAUGAUGUAGUCGGCAGCCUACCUGCUUGCCAUGCAGGAAGCGCGGGUUCAAUUCCCGCUGGAUGCU
rnacentral:tRNA from 1 species